AGUUUGAUCCUGGCUCAGAGUGAACGCUGGCGGCAGGCCUAAUACAUGCAAGUCGAACGGCAGCACAGCAGAGCUUGCUCUGUGGGUGGCGAGUGGCGGACGGGUGAGGAAUACGUGGGAAUCUGCCCAGUCGUGGGGGAUAACGUAGGGAAACUUACGCUAAUACCGCAUGCGCCCUUCGGGGGAAAGCCGGGGACCUUCGGGCCUGGCGCGAUUGGAUGAGCCCACGUCGGAUUAGCUAGUUGGCGGGGUAAAGGCCCACCAAGGCGACGAUCCGUAGCUGGUCUGAGAGGAUGAUCAGCCACACUGGAACUGAGACACGGUCCAGACUCCUACGGGAGGCAGCAGUAGGGAAUAUUGGACAAUGGGCGCAAGCCUGAUCCAGCCAUGCUGCGUGAGUGAAGAAGGCCCUCGGGUUGUAAAGCUCUUUUGUCCGGAAAGAAAAGCGCCGGGUUAAUACCCUGGUGUCCUGACGGUACCGGAAGAAUAAGCACCGGCUAACUUCGUG
rnacentral:rRNA from 1 species